rnacentral:tRNA from 1 species
GCGCCUGUAGCUCAGUUGGAUAGAGCACCGGCCUCCGAAGCCGGGUGUCAGAGGUUCGAAUCCUCCCAGGCGCGCCA